CUCUGCCCUCCGAGGUCGCCCGCAGCUGCCGCCCGCUCUGGGCUUGGGGACCUCGGCCCUGCGCCUUUCCGCACUCCUGGCAGGUGCAGCCCCAGGAGGCAAUGGGGCAGGCAAACUGGAUGGUGCCCCAGGUGUAGCAAGCUUGGAAGGCUUCAAAGGACGGGACAAGUUUGGCCUGGACAAGUUUCCUCCUAGAAGUCACUUAAUCUGCAAAAUCAAGAUAAGACCAUUUUCCCCAUGUGACUUGACAAGACAAUAUUAAAGCUCAAGGCGCUGAAGACAUAAGCUGUAUUGUAAAGCUAUGUGUUAGCUCAGAACUACGUCUUCAGUGACAACAUAAUGAAGACUAGACGUGACCCUUGACUUUAAGAGCUUGAUCGUGCAUAGGAGGGACAGCAUCUUGGAAAGCAUGUAUAAGGUACAGAAAUAGUACAAUGGAGAGUGUGUUUACACCUUAACUUCUUUUGGGGAAUUGUGAAAGGCUUUGCUGAGGAUGUGAUAUUUGGCCAGAGUACUUAAGGCUGAAUAAAAGCUUGUCCUGCAGAUAGGUGGGAAA